UAUUUAUGGUCAGCGCACUCCCGACGCCCGAGCUAUCGUUUGCUUCACACUGACAUCAUAGCGGAUUACAAUGUCAAAUAUUUUGGAAGCAGCACUAGCCUCCGGUUUUACACCCCGUGAGAGAGAUUCGUCGUUUAUAUUCCAGUCAUUUGUAAUAUAAAGUUGCAAUAUUUUUCGCAUGAAACAUUUUUGGGGGAUGGAAUGAUGCAUUCAAGUUAAGGUCUAUGUAACAGAGAGUGGGUCAGGUCAGGGAUGCUGCAGCGUCGGAGGGAAUCUGACUCUCAUGGCCUGUUUUCAUCUGGAGAGACCUCCGACAAUGACUGUGAGAUGGGGGCAAGUUGUGGAGAAAGUUGGCGAUAGUGUGUUUGUGUGGAGACUGGGACCCUGCACACUAUACUCUGAAGCACAUACACAGACGCCGGUUGAGAAGUGGUGUUCUAU